rnacentral:rRNA from 1 species
UGGGCAACCUGCCCUCAGCUCUGGGAUAACUCCAAGAAAUUGGGGCUGAUACCGGAUAUGACCGCUGACCGCAUGGUCUGGUGGUGGAAAGAUUUAUCGGCUGGGGAUGGGCCCGCGGCCUAUCAGCUUGUUGGUGGGGUAGUGGCCUACCAAGGCGACGACGGGUAGCCGGCCUGAGAGGGUGACCGGCCACACUGGGACUGAGACACGGCCCAGACUCCUACGGGAG